rnacentral:rRNA from 1 species
UUCCGGUUGAUCCUGCCGGAGGUCACUGCUCUCAGUGUUCGACUAAGCCAUGCAAGUCAAAUGUUCUUCGUGAACAUGGCGAACUGCUCAGUAACACGUGGAUAACCUGCCCUUAGGACCGGCAUAACCCUGGGAAACUGGGGAUAAUUCCGGAUAACCCAUUAAUGCUGGAAUGCUUCGUGGGUAAAAUGGUUUCGACCGCCCAAGGAUGGAUCUGCGGCCUAUCAGGUAGUAGUGGGUGUAGUGUACCUACUAGCCGACGACGGGUACGGGUUGUGAGAGCAAGAGCCCGGAGAUGGAUUCUGAGACAUGAAUCCAGGCCCUACGGGGUGCAGCAGGCGCGAAAACUUUACAAUGCUGGAAACAGCGAUAAGGGGACCUCGAGUGCCAGGUUACAAAUCUGGCUGUCCGCAUGUUCAAAACGCAUGUGUUAGCAAGGGCUGGGCAAGACCGGUGCCAGCCGCCGCGGUAACACCGGCGGCUCGAGUGAUAACCGUUAUUAUUGGGUCUAAGGGGUCUGUAGCCGGCCGGAUAAGUCUCUUGGGAAAUCCAGCAGCUUAACUGUUGGGCUUUCAGGAGAUACUGUCUGGCUCGAGGCCGGGAGAGGUGAGAGGUACUUCAGGGGUAGGGGUGAAAUCUUGUAAUCCUUGAAGGACCACCAGUGGCGAAGGCGUCUCACCAGAACGGACC